rnacentral:lncRNA from 12 species
CUCGGGUAUUUUGAGCUGCUUUGCUGGGAUGUGUUUAUUUUCUCUGCAAGUGGAGGUGGGAAGUGUGGCUCUGUCUGGUCAGAGGUCACACUGGGCUGUGGCACUGAAGUGCUGGACUUUCUGCUGUGUCACUGAUGGGUUGUGCCAGACCUUGCUGUGGGGUUGCUAGCUGGAGUUUCUGCUGUCACUGAUGGGUUGUGCCAGACCUUGCUGUGGGGUUGCUGAGGGUGUGAUUCUCCUGAUGCUGGACAGUUUUCCCCUGGAGUCAGGAAGGCAGAUGGUGCUGCUGACCUGCUGCCCUACAACCCUUUCCAUCCUUCUCUUCCCUGGUACUGAAAAUAACUCAUUAGGUUUAGAAGGUGUGGAAAAAACGAGAGGGAAAGAAAACUCUCUCACCUGACAAAACGAAAAACAAGAGUUUUGGAAAGAUCUGUUGGUUAGGUGAGAACUUCAUACAGUUGCUGGUUUCUCCUUUCUCAUCACCUAGAACCAGUGAGGCAUCUGGAGGUGGUGCUGCAUGCUGUGCCUAUGCUCACUGUUACAUUAAUUUAAAUAAAUCAUGCAAAUUAACAAAGAAAAGUAAAAGAAACCCCUUACAACCUUCCUUCUGUGCAAAAAUAAAUCAAAAGAUAGGAGUUUCUGUGGGAAUAAACCUUGUCCCACGUGGUGAGAGCUGUUGUGUAAUGGUCUGUCCCUUUCUUCUCUCUGAAGGUCCCAACCCCGUGCAUCCCACUGGUCUGGAAUAACGUUUGGAGUCUGGCAGUCUGGUCCUUUUCGUAGCUCCAGAGGAUUUUUAGGAGCAUGGGGAGCAUGGGAUGCAUGGACAUAUGGACCCACAGAACCCUCUGGAGAAUGCUGGCUGUGGAUAAAACCAUCUGGAAGUUUCUACUGUCUUUCUACCCUGUUUUUUCUUGGGUCACUCUGUGUCAUUUGUGGCCAUGCCCUGAGGAUUAUAGCAUACAGUCACUUACUGGAAUACCUCCCCAUGCAUCUUCUUGAAAUGGAGCCAUUGCUUUACCCAGCUGGAAGAUAUGUUCUCUUCUCCCAGAGUUUUUCCAAUGCAGCAGCACUCCUGUCCAGCAGGUCUCGGUUGACUGCAGAAAGGAGGAGGGAGGAGCGUGUCAAAGGGAGGUCAAAUCCUGCCAGGGUUUCCUGGGAAAUGAGGUGUAUCCACUGUUUGGACUAUGUGACUUGGUGAGCUGCAAUUUGGCUUGGAUUACAGUAUUUCAGAAGGCUUUUUGAACUUACCAGGCAACCCUCUCCCUAAACUUUGGGGACAGAGGAGCUUAAAUUUAUAUUUCCA